UUGAUAUUAAUGUUGCACUAAGUAUCUUGAGAUGGGAGUUACAAUUAUUUGAAUUUAUUGUUCAUUAAAUGUGGAUAUGAGCAUGAUUAUUUAUUUAUUUAUUGUUUCCUGUACAGUUAAUUCAUCUGUUACUACUAUUUCUGUCAAUGUUAACUCUAUUUCCAUGCUUAAUAGGACAAAUUUCAAGGAUUGGAAGGAGAACAUAUUGAUUGUUCU
rnacentral:lncRNA from 1 species